rnacentral:rRNA from 1 species
UACGGGGGGGGCAAGCGUUGUUCGGAAUUACUGGGCGUAAAGGGCUCGUAGGCGGCCAACUAAGUCGGACGUGAAAUCCCUCGGCUUAACCGGGGAACUGCGUCCGAUACUGGAUGGCUUGAGGUUGGGAGAGGGAUGCGGAAUUCCAGGUGUAGCGGUGAAAUGCGUAGAUAUCUGGAGGAACACCGGUGGCGAAGGCGGCAUCCUGGACCAAUUCUGACGCUGAGUGAGCGAAAGCCAGGGGAGCGAACGGG